rnacentral:rRNA from 1 species
UACAGAGGGUGCGAGCGUUAAUCGGAAUUACUGGGCGUAAAGCGCACGUAGUCGGCUUUGCAAGCCGGUUGUGAAAUCCCCGGGCUCAACCUGGGAACUGCAUCCGGGACUGCAUUGCUAGAGUAUGGGAGAGGGAAGCGGAAUUUCUGGUGUAGCAGUGAAAUGCGUAGAUAUCAGAAGGAACAUCAGUGGCGAAGGCGGCUUCCUGGACCAAUACUGACGAUCAGGUGCGAAAGCGUGGGGAGCAAAC